CGCGUAAGUAAUCUGCCUAUCAGAGGGGAAUAACAGUGAGAAAUCAUUGCUAAUACCGCAUAUACUAAUUUUAUUGCAUGAUAGAAUUGGGAAAGGAGCAAUCCGCUGACAGAUGGGCUUGCGUCUGAUUAGUUAGUUGGCAGGGUAAAGGCCUACCAAGACGAUGAUCAGUAGCCGGACUGAGAGGUUGAACGGCCACAUUGGGACUGAGAUACGGCCCAGACUCCUACGGGAGGCAGCAG
rnacentral:rRNA from 1 species